rnacentral:rRNA from 1 species
AGUAAUGUAUGGGGAUCUGCCUGAUGGCGGGGGAUAACUACUGGAAACGGUAGCUAAUACCGCAUAAUGUCUGCGGACCAAAGCGGGGGACCUCCGGGCCUCGCGCCAUCAGAUGAACCCAUAUGGGAUUAGCUUGUAGGUAGGUAACGGCUUACCUAGGCGACGAUCCCUAGCUGGUCUGAGAGGAUGAUCAGCCACACUGGGACUGAGACACGGCCCAG